rnacentral:rRNA from 1 species
GUGAACGCUGGCGGUAGGCCUAACACAUGCAAGUCGAACGGCAGCACAGUAAGAGCUUGCUCUUACGGGUGGCGAGUGGCGGACGGGUGAGGAAUACAUCGGAAUCUACUUUUUCGUGGGGGAUAACGUAGGGAAACUUACGCUAAUACCGCAUACGACCUACGGGUGGAAGCAGGGGAUCUUCGGACCUUGCGCGAUUGAAUGAGCCGAUGUCGGAUUAGCUAGUUGGCGGGGUAAAGGCCCACCAAGGCGACGAUCCGUAGCUGGUCUGAGAGGAUGAUCAGCCACACUGGAACUGAGACACGGUCCAGACUCCUACGGGAGGCAGCAGUGGGGAAUAUUGGACAAUGGGCGCAAGCCUGAUCCAGCCAUACCGCGUGGGUGAAGAAGGCCUUCGGGUUGUAAAGCCCUUUUGUUGGGAAAGAAAAGCAGCAGGUUAAUACCCCGCUGUUCUGACGUUACCCAAAGAAUAAGCACCGGCUAACUUCGUG